UACGUAGGGGGCAAGCGUUUUCCGGAAUCAUUGGGCGUAAAGCGCGUGUAGGCGGACCGAUAAGUCCGCUGUGAAAGUCCAGGGCUCAACCCUGGGAUGCCGGUGGAUACUGUCGGGCUCGAGUCCGGAAGAGGCGAGUGGAAUUCCUGGUGUAGCGGUGAAAUGCGCAGAUAUCAGGAGGAACACCAAUGGCGAAGGCAGCUCGCUGGGACGUGACUGACGCUGAGACGCGAAAGCGUGGGGAGCAAACAGG
rnacentral:rRNA from 1 species